rnacentral:rRNA from 1 species
UUAAGCGACUAAGCGUACACGGUGGAUGCCCUGGCAGUCAGAGGCGAUGAAGGACGUGCUAAUCUGCGAAAAGCGCCGGCGAGGUGAUAUGAACCUUUGACCCGGCGAUGUCCGAAUGGGGAAACCCAGUGUGAUUCGUCACACUAUCGUUAACUGAAUACAUAGGUUAACGAGGCGAACCGGGGGAACUGAAACAUCUAAGUACCCCGAGGAAAAGAAAUCAACCGAGAUUCCCCCAGUAGCGGCGAGCGAACGGGGAGCAGCCCAGAGUCUGAAUCAGCUUGUGUGUUAGUGGAAGCGUCUGGAAAGUCGCACGGUACAGGGUGACAGUCCCGUACACGAAAAUGCACAGGUUGUGAACUCGAAGAGUAGGGCGGGACACGUGGUAUCCUGUCUGAAUAUGGGGGGACCAUCCUCCAAGGCUAAAUACUCCUGACUGACCGAUAGUGAACCAGUACCGUGAGGGAAAGGCGAAAAGAACCCCGGCGAGGGGAGUGAAACAGAACCUGAAACCGUGUACGUACAAGCAGUGGGAGCACCUUCGUGGUGUGACUGCGUACCUUUUGUAUAAUGGGUCAGCGACUUAUAUUCUGUAGCAAGGUUAACCGUAUAGGGGAGCCGAAGGGAAACCGAGUCUUAACUGGGCGUUAAGUUGCAGGGUAUAGACCCGAAACCCGGUGAUCUAGCCAUGGGCAGGUUGAAGGUUGGGUAACACUAACUGGAGGACCGAACCGACUAAUGUUGAAAAAUUAGCGGAUGACUUGUGGCUGGGGGUGAAAGGCCAAUCAAACCGGGAGAUAGCUGGUUCUCCCCGAAAGCUAUUUAGGUAGCGCCUCGUGAACUCAUCUUCGGGGGUAGAGCACUGUUUCGGCUAGGGGGCCAUCCCGGCUUACCAACCCGAUGCAAACUACGAAUACCGAAGAAUGUUAUCACGGGAGACACACGGCGGGUGCUAACGUCCGUCGUGAAGAGGGAAACAACCCAGACCGCCAGCUAAGGUCCCAAAGUCAUGGUUAAGUGGGAAACGAUGUGGGAAGGCACAGACAGCCAGGAUGUUGGCUUAGAAGCAGCCAUCAUUUAAAGAAAGCGUAAUAGCUCACUGGUCGAGUCGGCCUGCGCGGAAGAUGUAACGGGGCUAAACCAUGCACCGAAGCUGCGGCAGCGACACUAUGUGUUGUUGGGUAGGGGAGCGUUCUGUAAGCCGUUGAAGGUGUGCUGUGAGGCAUGCUGGAGGUAUCAGAAGUGCGAAUGCUGACAUAAGUAACGAUAAAGCGGGUGAAAAGCCCGCUCGCCGGAAGACCAAGGGUUCCUGUCCAACGUUAAUCGGGGCAGGGUGAGUCGACCCCUAAGGCGAGGCCGAAAGGCGUAGUCGAUGGGAAACAGGUUAAUAUUCCUGUACUUGGUGUUACUGCGAAGGGGGGACGGAGAAGGCUAUGUUAGCCGGGCGACGGUUGUCCCGGUUUAAGCAUGUAGGCGGAACGAUUAGGUAAAUCCGGUCGUUUAUUAACGCUGAGGUGUGAUGACGAGGCACUACGGUGCUGAAGUAACAAAUGCCCUGCUUCCAGGAAAAGCCUCUAAGCAUCAGGUAACAUCAAAUCGUACCCCAAACCGACACAGGUGGUCAGGUAGAGAAUACCAAGGCGCUUGAGAGAACUCGGGUGAAGGAACUAGGCAAAAUGGUGCCGUAACUUCGGGAGAAGGCACGCUGAUAUGUAGGUGAAGCCCCUGCGGGUGGAGCUGAAAUCAGUCGAAGAUACCAGCUGGCUGCAACUGUUUAUUAAAAACACAGCACUGUGCAAACACGAAAGUGGACGUAUACGGUGUGACGCCUGCCCGGUGCCGGAAGGUUAAUUGAUGGGGUUAGCGGCAACGCGAAGCUCUUGAUCGAAGCCCCGGUAAACGGCGGCCGUAACUAUAACGGUCCUAAGGUAGCGAAAUUCCUUGUCGGGUAAGUUCCGACCUGCACGAAUGGCGUAAUGAUGGCCAGGCUGUCUCCACCCGAGACUCAGUGAAAUUGAACUCGCUGUGAAGAUGCAGUGUACCCGCGGCAAGACGGAAAGACCCCGUGAACCUUUACUAUAGCUUGACACUGAACACUGGUCCUUGAUGUGUAGGAUAGGUGGGAGGCUUUGAAGUGUGGACGCCAGUCUGCAUGGAGCCGUCCUUGAAAUACCACCCUUUAAUGGCUGGUGUUCUAACGUAGACCCGUAAUCCGGGUUGCGGACAGUGUCUGGUGGGUAGUUUGACUGGGGCGGUCUCCUCCCAAAGAGUAACGGAGGAGCACGAAGGUUAGCUAAUCCUGGUCGGACAUCAGGAGGUUAGUGCAAUGGCAUAAGCUAGCUUGACUGCGAGAGUGACGGCUCGAGCAGGUGCGAAAGCAGGUCAUAGUGAUCCGGUGGUUCUGAAUGGAAGGGCCAUCGCUCAACGGAUAAAAGGUACUCCGGGGAUAACAGGCUGAUACCGCCCAAGAGUUCAUAUCGACGGCGGUGUUUGGCACCUCGAUGUCGGCUCAUCACAUCCUGGGGCUGAAGUAGGUCCCAAGGGUAUGGCUGUUCGCCAUUUAAAGUGGUACGCGAGCUGGGUUUAGAACGUCGUGAGACAGUUCGGUCCCUAUCUGCCGUGGGCGCUGGAGAAUUGAGGGGGGCUGCUCCUAGUACGAGAGGACCGGAGUGGACGCAUCACUGGUGUUCGGGUUGUCAUGCCAAUGGCACUGCCCGGUAGCUAAAUGCGGAAAAGAUAAGUGCUGAAAGCAUCUAAGCACGAAACUUGCCCCGAGAUGAGUUCUCCCUGAGACUUUAAGUCUCCUGAAGGAACGUUGAAGACGACGACGUUGAUAGGUCGGGUGUGUAAGCGCAGCGAUGCGUUGAGCUAACCGAUACUAAUGAACCGUGAGGCUUAACCUU